rnacentral:lncRNA from 1 species
GAUAUAGGAUAUAUGUCCUGCUGAACCCUGGGGAUGGCCUUGAGAUUAAAGUGUUUUCCCUUCCCUGUUGCUAACUUCUCUGUGGUCUGUUGACAUUACGUCAUGUUGCAAACAAUGAGUGGUAGAGACUGGAGACUGCCGUGUCAGGGUGUAGUGACCUGAUUAGUCCAAACUCCUGCAGGGGAGACGUGCAGAUAGAUGAGCCCCAACAGGACCUGAAAAACCAUGUGGUUUUGAAAUUCUGGGUGGAUGGGCCACACCCUGCAUACACCUUAAAUCUCCUGGUGCUUUGAAGGUACAAUUAUUGCUCAACAACUCCAGACUCAUUUGGAAGCAGUGCAUUUUUAUCAGAGGGACUGAAAAGCCUUUCGA